rnacentral:rRNA from 1 species
UUUAUGGAGAGUUUGAUCUUGGCUCAGGACGAACGCUGGCGGCGUGCCUAAUACAUGCAAGUCGAGCGCGGGAAGCAAGCUGAUCCUCUUCGGAGGUGACGCUUGUGGAACGAGCGGCGGACGGGUGAGUAACACGUGGGCAACCUGCCUGUAAGACUGGGAUAACCCCGGGAAACCGGGGCUAAUACCGGAUAAUACUUUUCAUCACCUGAUGAGAAGUUGAAAGGUGGCUUUUAGCUACCACUUACAGAUGGGCCCGCGGCGCAUUAGCUAGUUGGUGAGGUAACGGCUCA